GGAUAUGAGGGUGAUCUGGCUGUGACAUCUGUCACCUGAUUGAUCACCAGGGUUGAUUCAGCUGAUCUCGCUGGCUACGCCGUGUCCCCUUCCUCCCUUCCCACUCCAGAUGUACCCCUCCUAAAGCUAUACAUUUGAAGAGGACGACCUCCUCAGGAGACGAGGACUAUUCUUCGGUCAAAGGUAUAUGAGCAGCUCUGCUCCCCUGCUAGAGCCUCCAAACAAACUCUCAAGGUCCAUUUGUGGGAGGACAUAGGAUAAUCAAGCUUCCAAGACUCCAGAUACAUCCAAAAGAGGUGCUCAUGCGGCGGUCUGCCUUU
ensembl:misc_RNA 7SK 7SK RNA